AAAAAAAGCUUGAGAGCGCGUUGAAAUCUUGCACGUAAAACCUUUGCAGCAGCAAAAAAAAACCAAAAAAAAUGAAAACCAAACCCAAAACAAGGCGUUAAAACGUGUUUAGAUGCCGUUAAUAAAAGCCUGUCCUGCCACACGUUGAGCUGCUCCUCCACCUCCGGGCCCUUUGCCAGCCGUCCCUUUGCAGCAGUCGCAUCCCUUUUGCAGCAGUUAUGGGUGUAGUUUCCGAACGGACGACGAGUUGGUGUUGGUUAAUUUAUAAACCUUUGCGUUGGUGUUCAGUGCUGGUUUGUUUUUUAUUAUUUUUUUUUUGGAGCCCACCCCACCUGCCUCGGAUGUGCAUGCGCCCUGAUCGCGUCCCAGGUACGACUGCGCGUUUGCUUGUGGUUGAGCACGCUGUGCAGUGCAAUGGUGACAGGAGGAUGGAGGCGGCCCGUCGUGUUUGGCUGCUGUUGUUCUGCCUUUUCCCCCGCUCGAAGCUCUGCGGUGACUUCGGGGCACAGUUUGACCGUCGUUGGGAUGAAGAGGAAGCUGACACUUGCUGCAUCGUCGGCUUCGGAAACCUCUGGUGUGGUGUUAGAAUGAACGUGACUCGCAGAUGAAGACGCCUUGAAACGCAAGCUUGCCCUGAUUUUGCUUUGCCAUCCUUUUCACCUGCCGUGGAUAACCAACCUGGUGCUGUCCUGUGGCCGUACAGGAGGGCUGCAGGGCCUCCCAGCUGAAGGAUGCUGUUCCCGGGGCACAGAGCUGUGUAAAUCCCCAAAAACAGCAAAAGGUUUGAGAGGAGAGGAGUGGAUCUGCAAAGGUUGUCCUGAGCUGCAGCGAGGAAGGUUUGGAGCUGUGUGUAAGGACAGCGUGGGGCUCCUGAGCUUUUUGGAUGGAGACGAGGAGGUGAUCAGGGCACAAGAAAGGUCUGCGCUGGUAGACGUCUGGCUGCAACCAAAGCCAGUCCUUCCCGUGCUGCCCUGCAGGAUGGCUUCACUCUGCAUGGGAACGUG